UGCAAGUCGCACGAGAAAGUGGAGCAAUCCAUGAGUACAGUGGCGUACGGGUGAGUAAUACGUGGAUCAUCUGCCCUUUAGUGGGGAAUAACCCUGGGAAACCGGGGCUAAUACCGCAUAAUCCUGAGAAGGGAAAGCAGCAAUGCGCUGAAGGAGGAGUCCGCGGCCGAUUAGCUAGUUGGUAGGGUAACGGCCUACCAAGGCAAUGAUCGGUAGCCGGCCUGAGAGGGCACACGGCCACACUGGCACUGAAACACGGGCCAGACUCCUACGGGAGGCAGCAGUGGGGAAUCUUGCACAAUGGAGGAAACUCUGAUGCAGCGACGCCGCGUGAGCGAUGAAGCCCUUCGGGGUGUAAAGCUCUUUCGACGGGAACGAUAAUGACGGUACCCGGAGAAGAAGCUGCGGCUAACUACGUGCCAGCAGCCGCGGUAAUACGUAGGCAGCAAGCGUUGUUCGGAAUUACUGGGCGUAAAGAGUGUGUAGGCUGUUCUCUAAGUUCGGUGUGAAAUCUCCCGGCUCAACUGGGAGGGUGCGCCGGAAACUGGAGGCUUGAGUAUGGGAGAGGAAGGCGGAAUUCCUGGUGUAGCGGUGAAAUGCGUAGAUAUCAGGAGGAACACCUGCGGUGUAGACAGCUUUCUGGACCAUCACUGACGCUGAGACACGAAAGCGUGGGUAGCAAACAGGAUUAGAUACCCUGUAGUCCACGCCCUAAACGAUGCAUACUUGGUGUGAGCCGUUCAGUCGGUUCGUGCCGGAGCUAACGCGUUAAGUAUGCCGCCUGGGGAGUACGGUCGCAAGGCUGAACUCAAGGAAUUGACGGGGGCCCGCACAAGCGGUGGACAUG
rnacentral:rRNA from 1 species